CUACGGGCUGCUGCAGUGGGGAAUCUUGCGCAAUGGACGAAAGUCUGACGCAGCGACGCCGCGUGGGUGAUGAAGGCCUUCGGGUCGUAAAGCCCUGUCGUGAGGGAAGAAUACGUAGCAAUACGGGUGACGGUACCUCACAAGAAAGCACAGGCUAACUCCGUGCCAGCAGCCGCGGUAAUACGGAGUGUGCAAGCGUUGUUCGGAAUCACUGGGCGUAAAGCGCGUGUAGGCGGCGAUGUAAGUCGGGUGUGAAAUCCCAGGGCUCAACCCUGGAACUGCAUCCGAAACUGCAUUGCUUGAGUUCGGGAGGGGAUAGCGGAAUUCCGAGUGUAGAGGUGAAAUUCGUAGAUAUUCGGAGGAACACCUGUGGCGAAGGCGGCUAUCUGGACCGAUACUGACGCUGAGACGCGAAAGCGUGGGGAGCAAACAGGAUUAGAUACCCGGGUAGUC
rnacentral:rRNA from 1 species